UUUAAAACGUUGAAGAGGAUAAGUAGUUUUGAUGUUUAGGUAUCAACAGAGAGUCGGGUUGCUGGAAGCCGACGUUACCAACUCAAAAUGAACUCACCUCAGAGUGUCACCCUGAAAUUCAGUAAGGGCGACCGAGUGUACUUCCAAAGCACUCGUUAUCAAAAAGAAUGUACAGUAUACAUUCAUAAGGUAAUCAUUACGAUUACAAACGAGGGUGGUACCGCGUAAAGUACAAAAGACUUUUCGCCCCUUGA
rnacentral:ncRNA from 2 species